rnacentral:rRNA from 1 species
UACGUAGGGUGCAAGCGUUGUCCGGAAUUAUUGGGCGUAAAGAGCUCGUAGGCGGUUUGUCGCGUCGAAUGUGAAAACCCGGGGCUCAACUCCGGGCCUGCAUUCGAUACGGGCAGACUAGAGUUCGGUAGGGGAGUCUGGAAUUCCUGGUGUAGCGGUGAAAUGCGCAGAUAUCAGGAGGAACACCGGUGGCGAAGGCGGGAUCUCCUGG